CAGCCGCCGCGGUAACACGUAGGGCGCAAGCGUUAUCCGGAAUUAUUGGGCGUAAAGAGCUCGUAGGCGGUUUGUCGCGUCUGCCGUGAAAGUCCGGGGCUCAACCCCGGAUCUGCGGUGGGUACGGGCAGACUAGAGUGAUGUAGGGGAGACUGGAAUUCCUGGUGUAGCGGUGAAAUGCGCAGAUAUCAGGAGGAACACCGAUGGCGAAGGCAGGUCUCUGGGCAUUAACUGACGCUGAGGAGCGAAAGCAUGGGGAGCGAACAGGAUUAGAUACCCCGGUAGUCCCUGUCUCUUAUAC
rnacentral:rRNA from 1 species